AAACAUACCUCUUUGUGGGUAUAAUGGAAUUAUGUUUUUGGGUACCUUCAAUAGACAAGUGCUGCUGUUUACUUUCUUUGCGGACUGGGACUAAGGUAAUAGGAAUUGGUGAAAUUAUCGUGAACUUUGCACUGAUCGUAAUGGAAGGAUAUUUUGUAAACGAACUUGACACGACUGUCAAAGUAAGUGUUGGGUUGGAUGUGAUUCUUGAAAUAGUGCUGACGAUAGCAUCUGUAUUUCUUAUAAUUGGAGUGUACUCUGAAAUAAUGUGUUUUAUUAAAUUGUGGCUGAUGGUCGAUUUUGUUGAAAUGGUAAUUACAUUCUUCCAUAUCAUUAUAAUUGUAUUUGAACUGGUGAUGCAAUCAGUUGAAUUAAAACUUGGGCUUGAGUUACUUUCACAGCAUCUGGUAAUUGAAGGUUUAGGGAUAUAUUUCUUUAUAGUAGUUUUCAACUAUUAUGAGGAAGAGACAGAGUUCUAAAAUAAGAUGUAAAUGCUACAAUGUGAGCAAAACCUGCAACUGCCAGAACUGAAUAACAUGCCCAGCAGUAUACCCACAAUAAAAUGCGCAGAACUGAUUAGGGAAUUAAAAAAAAGUGAACGUUAUAUCUGGUGAAUGAAUCAAUAAAGGGGAAGCAAAAACCAAAAAGAUAACACAAAAGAAGCAAUGAAAUGGAGAACAAUUAAAAACCAGACACGAUAUAGGAUCAAGCCAAACGUGCCUGAUCACACUACGAAGGUGAAAAAACUCCGAUCUAAAGCUGGAACUAAUUUCUUCUCCACUAUUAAAUAGAUUUCAAUUCAAACAAGACAAACAGCUCUUCAUAACAAUCAUAUGUUUUUUAAACAAAUGUUUGUUGAUGUUAUCAUUUUCCUAUACCUAUAAAGUAAGAAGUGGAUGGAUUUAAUGGCAUUUCUGAAAUGGUUGCCCAAGGUGCGUACAUUUUGUUUUGCCAUACCCCUGCCGAUUGGGUGUAAAAUCAUUGGAACCCUUCUUGCUAUAUACAGCGUGAUUAUAGUGAUUUUACUUGGGCUCAGUUUUGAAGAGAUGCAUCCCGAUGCGAUGAUAAAUCUUAUUAUGUAUAUAGCAAUAGAGACUGCAACUCUAAUUUUCUCUGUUGUACUUCUUGUUGGGCUAUUUUUGCACAGAGAUAAUUUUGUCAAAUUGUUCCUGGUAUUUUAUAUAUUUAUUCUUGCCUUGCUUUUAAGUCAUGCAGUAUUAUUAAUAAUCAAACUGGUUGUAGUCCUAAUGCCUCCCUGGAUAGCACAGCAAUACUUAGUGAUGUCGCUAUUUGAAAUGAUUAUAGGUUGUUAUUUCUUCAUAGUUGUACACAGCUAUUACGCCACAAAAACAUCAUCCUAACCGUGUCUGAAAUGGAUUGGUGAACUCGCCAAAAGAAGUAAACUGAAGAUCUGUCUCGGGCUUUGGAAGAGUCAAUUGACAAGAACUGUCUACAAGAUGUCAGAAUAUUGGUUAUUAAGCACAACAAUACUGACUAGGUGGUGAAUUUGUCACACAUUUUAAAAAUUUUUAGAAUGUAUAAUUAAAAUCUUUCCUUGGCACUUGUAAAACUUA
rnacentral:misc_RNA from 1 species